rnacentral:lncRNA from 1 species
AUUUCAUGUCACCUUAAAGAAGCAGGUAUUCAGCCCUACUUACAGCAAGUGUACAAUAGAUUUUCAUGGUUCAAGUUUGCUUCUGCAUAUUGUUACUUUUUUUCUGAGUUGUUUAUAUUGUUUUAAUAUAUUGAAUAAAGAGUGAUGGGCAAGACACAAUUAAAUUACCAGAUUGAAACUAUUUGAAACCAUUUUUUGACUAGCCAUCUCAGGAUGCAUCAGCUGAUUUGGAAAAUGCUUCUUUCUGGUGGCUCACAUAUCAAGAAGGUACUGUUGACUUUCUGGGAUGAAGAACAUCAAUAACCAUCU